CAUUGUUGAAAGAUAAAGACCUAUUGAAAAAUGUGUUUUAAAAAGUCAGUCUUAUUCUUUCUACUAUG